rnacentral:lncRNA from 1 species
UUUGAUUUUAAAGGUUGGAAUAUGGAAUGCAGAGAUUCUAGAUAAGAUUAUUAGAGAGGGAAACGGACAUGGAGAGGGGUAAGUUUAUCAUAUAGAGAAAGAUCAGCUAGGAUGUGAAUAAGGAGGGAUUUGGAAGAGUUAAGAUGCGGGAUUUGGAUAGAGAGGAUUGAUUGUUAAUAAUAAUUAUAUAACAAAAUUUGCUUUGUGAAUCAGGUAAUAUGAGUUUGUUUUGGGAAUCAAAUAAUAUUCCAUGCACGGGCAUAAAUGGCGACAAAUUCAAAAGACCUCCACAUCCUUUUUAGUAUGGUAUAGAUAUAUAAACAUGUCAUGUUUUGAAGGAGUUUGAUAGCUACGAGAAAAUUUCUUUCCAUAUAUAGGAAAUCUAUUAAGAUCUUUUCUUGCCAACAAAAGUCCAAUAGCAGCUUUAAUUUUUGAAUUACAAUCAAGAAGUACCACAAGGAAGGUUGGUCCGGUAGAUUAUGCAAAAGUUACUGCAAAAUCUUGGUAGUGUGAAUGGAGGACCACCAUAAUGUGACUAGUCAACUGAAAUUGUUAGUGCAUCAACUUGUGAGUAAUAAUGGAAUCUUAUUAGGCAAGGCUAAAAACUUGAUUGAUGGACUCAUUUCAUGGUGGUUACCACGAUUAGUCCCAUCAUGAAAGGAUUUAGGAAGAUGUGGUUCCAAGAG